GAUGAACGCUGGCGGCGUGCCUAACACAUGCAAGUCGAGCGGCAGCGAGGGGUGCUUGCACCCUGUCGGCGAGCGGCGGACGGCUGAGUAACGCGUGGGAACGUGCCCCAAAGUGAGGAAUAACUGCCCGAAAGGGUAGCUAAUACCGCAUAUUAUCUUCGGAUCAAAGGAUUUAUCCGCUUUGGGAGCGGCUCGCGUCGGAUUAGGUAGUUGGUGAGGUAAUGGCUCACCAAGCCGACGAUCCGUAGCUGGUCUGAGAGGAUGACCAGCCAGACUGGAACUGAGACACGGUCCAGACUCCUACGGGAGGCAGCAGUGAGGAAUCUUCCACAAUGGGCGAAAGCCUGAUGGAGCAACGCCGCGUGCAGGACGAAGGCCUUCGGGUUGUAAACUGCUUUUAGAAGUGAGGAAUAUGACGGUAACUUAGGAAUAAGGAUCGGCUAACUACGU
rnacentral:rRNA from 1 species